rnacentral:rRNA from 1 species
UACGGGGGGAGCAAGCGUUGUUCGGAUUUACUGGGCGUAAAGGGCGCGUAGGCGGUCGUGACAAGUCACUUGUGAAAUCUCCGGGCUUAACUCGGAACGUCAAGUGAUACUGUCGGACUAGAGUACAGAAGGGGCACUGGAAUUCUCGGUGUAGCGGUGAAAUGCGCAGAUAUCAGGAGGAACACCGGUGGCGAAGGCGGGUCUCUGGG